rfam:Gasterosteus aculeatus cont1.006902, whole genome shotgun sequence.
GCGGGCGCCGUCAGUAACAAGGAUUCAUCCUGUUGUGAUGCUGCAGGCUGACAGGAUAUCGUUGUUACUGGGGGCGAGGCU